rnacentral:rRNA from 1 species
GAUGAACGCUGACAGAAUGCUUAACACAUGCAAGUCAACUUGAACUUCGGUUUGGGUGGCGGACGGGUGAGUAACGCGUAAAGAACUUGCCUCACAGCUAGGGACAACAUUUGGAAACGAAUGCUAAUACCUGAUAUUAUAAUUUUAGGGCAUCCUAGGAUUAUGAAAGCUAUAUGCGCUGUGAGAGAGCUUUGCGUCCCAUUAGCUAGUUGGAGAGGUAACAGCUCACCAAGGCGAUGAUGGGUAGCCGGCCUGAGAGGGUGAUCGGCCACAAGGGGACUGAGACACGGCCCUUACUCCUACGGGAGGCAGCAGUGGGGAAUAUUGGACAAUGGACCAAGAGUCUGAUCCAGCAAUUCUGUGUNCACG